UUUAAUUGCAGUUGUGGGUUUUAGUGUUUAAUGUUUGUCCGUCUUAUUUAAAUUACUAUAAUUACUUUUAUAUUGUUAUUAGAUGAUAAAAUAUGAAUAUUACUCAUGCAUGAAUCAAGUUUUUAAUUUUUUUAUAAUUUCUUUAAAUAAGACAGACGGUUAAACAUUUGGUACGGAAACCCACAACUGUACUAAAA
rfam:Oryza glumipatula chromosome 1, whole genome shotgun sequence.